GGAGGGGGCAAGCGUUGUUCGGAAUUACUGGGCGUAAAGGGCGCGUAGGCGGAAGAUCAAGUCAGGGGUGAAAGGCCUGGGCUCAACCCGGGAACUGCCUUUGAAACUGGUUUUCUAGAGUACGGGAGAGGAUGGCGGAAUUCCCAGUGUAGAGGUGAAAUUCGUAGAUAUUGGGAAGAACACCGGUGGCGAGGGCGGCCAUCUGGCCCGGUACUGACGCUAAGGCGCGAAAGCGUGGGGAGCAAACAGGAUUAGAUACCCUGGUAGUCCACGCCGUAAACGAUGUGUGCUAGCCGUUGGGGCCUCAGGUCUCAGUGGCGCAGCUAACGCGUUAAGCACACCGCCUGGGGAGUACGGCCGCAAGGUUAA
rnacentral:rRNA from 1 species